rnacentral:miRNA from 1 species
AAGAUAGCAAGGAAAUGAGAUU